UUUAUUAUGGCAGAAUAGUGCAAUAGAUUUAAGAUCUAUAAAUAAAGUUUAACUUUUAAUAAAA
rnacentral:tRNA from 1 species